AAAGGGAGUAUGAAAUUUACAAAACAGUCACUCCAUAUGUUUAUCCGACGUGUCAAAACCACACACAGUUGCAAUAUUGUGAAAGGUAAUGUAAAAUCGAAAGCAGAUGUAAUUUGAACGCAGUCAUAUAGUUUAUAGAGGUACCAGCACUGAGACAGUAUAUGACUCAUAACAACCCACAUUCUAAAACAUAUUGGGUUGUUUUAAUCCAGUGCUGGGUAAAAUAUGAACAAAAUCAACCGUUGGGUUAUAAAUGAACCUAAACUGUUUUGUUUUAACAAGGGAUGUGCGAGACAAAAGUCGACAUUGAAAACACGAGUCGAUUACACAAAUAUAUUACACAUAAUGUAAUAAUUUAAAUGACUUUCAUUUUAAUGUCUGGUUUUAAAACCUUUUCAAGUACAUACUAAAACAAUAUGUUUGAAAAAUAAUUAUUAAUAGUUUUAAAAGUGUAUCAGGAAUUUUAGGUCAGAUAUAGCAUGCGUUUCACAUGAUCAAGAAAAACGCUUUCAAAGUUUUCAUUUGAGUAAACUAAAAUAACCUUGGUCUACAUGAACAAGUAAUGGUACAACACUCUGUAUUAAAGUUUUACAACUUAAGUUAAAUAUAAUACAAUUUGCUUUUUGGUGUUUUAUUUAUUAUCUUGAAUGUGUUCUAAUGACUCGAAACAGACUUUCCAGGACUUUCCAUAAGUCAGCUGUGGGUUGUCCCUUUAAACAGACACACUUUCAUUCCUGCAAAGACAACAGACGCCACAGCUAUUAAAGAAAUGUGAAGAGAAAACCACAAGUCUGAAAACUCAGGUGGAAUCGCAAAUAUGGAGAAACAGACUGAGACAGACGGUUCGAAAGUAUUACGGAAGUGGAAAGACAACAAUGGGAGCUGGUAAUUCAAAUGAUUUGACGCAUUUCCCCAGCCAAGAGGGAAAUGCUCUAUCAAAGUGUCCAGUUUGUUUCUCCUCACUGAAACUCUGCCAUACUAGUGAAUUGCUUCAGUGUACUCAAUGCCCUACCGCUCCAUUCCUGUGUGGCUCCUGCCUCUACCCAUGCACUACUGAUUCUGCUACCUGUACAAACAACAUGUGCCCACUGGUAUCUACCCUACUAACCUGUGGACUGGUGUCAGACCCAAAGAGUAAGGUGUUUGAAUGCCCUGAGUUCCGAGCCUGUCCCAAGUGUCGCAGUUUAAUUAUUCAUGUAUCUGGGUGUAAGUUUGUGAGGUGCCACUCAUGCAAACACCGCUUCUGUUUCAUCUGCUUACAAGAUGACUGUUGUAAUGAUGUGGAGAAGUACUGGUCACUCACUUGCAAAAAGCCAAGAGCACAAAGACAAAGAUUUAUACUAACAUCCUGAACAUUCUUGGGUUGCAUAUUGUAUUUAUCGCCAGAUCUGUCACUCCAGAAUAAAUUAAUUGAUUGAUUUAAAUCACUAAAGGAAUGUAUUGGCAUUGACGACAACAUUUGAACGGUUUAGGUAUAUAUGUAUAUAUCAAUAAAAUAGAGUUGAGUAUCUUC